GAUGAACGCUAGCUACAGGCUUAACACAUGCAAGUCGAGGGGAAACGACAUCGAAAGCUUGCUUUUGAUGGGCGUCGACCGGCGCACGGGUGAGUAACGCGUAUCCAACCUGCCCACCACUUGGGGAUAACCUUGCGAAAGUAAGACUAAUACCCAAUGAUAUCCCACGAAGGCAUCCGAAUGGGAUUAAAGAUUUAUCGGUGAUGGAUGGGGAUGCGUCUGAUUAGCUUGUUGGCGGGGUAACGGCCCACCAAGGCAACGAUCAGUAGGGGUUCUGAGAGGAAGGUCCCCCACAUUGGAACUGAGACACGGUCCAAACUCCUACGGGAGGCAGCAGUGAGGAAUAUUGGUCAAUGGGCGAGAGCCUGAACCAGCCAAGUAGCGUGCAGGACGACGGCCCUAUGGGGUUGUAAACUGCUUUUUGUGCGGGGAUAAAGUGUGGGACGCGUCCCAUAUUGCAGGUACCGCAUGAAUAAGGACCGGCUAAUUCCGUG
rnacentral:rRNA from 1 species